GAUGAACGCUGGCGGCGUGCCUAAUACAUGCAAGUCGAGCGAACGGACGAGAAGCUUGCUUCUCUGAUGUUAGCGGCGGACGGGUGAGUAACACGUGGAUAACCUACCUAUAAGACUGGGAUAACUUCGGGAAACCGGAGCUAAUACCGGAUAAUAUUUUGAACCGCAUGGUUCAAAAGUGAAAGACGGUCUUGCUGUCACUUAUAGAUGGAUCCGCGCUGCAUUAGCUAGUUGGUAAGGUAACGGCUUACCAAGGCAACGAUGCAUAGCCGACCUGAGAGGGUGAUCGGCCACACUGGAACUGAGACACGGUCCAGACUCCUACGGGAGGCAGCAGUAGGGAAUCUUCCGCAAUGGGCGAAAGCCUGACGGAGCAACGCUGCGCGAGUGAUGAAGGUCUUCGGAUCGUAAAACUCUGUUAUUAGGGAAGAACAUAUGUGUAAGUAACUGUGCACAUCUUGACGGUACCUAAUCAGAAAGCCACGGCUAACUACGUG
rnacentral:rRNA from 1 species